UAGAGGUUACAUUACACUAAAUCAUUGUGUAUCCCUCCGUGGUCCAUUCGAAAGUAGUGCCUAUUUCUAAAGAGUUCCUUUUCUCUUCUUGAAUAUAAGCCAUUUAACAAUGUGAGACAUGACUUUUGUGGUUAUUUGUAAUAUCCUGUAUGUGUCUGGAGUACUUUGAUGCCUUGGAUUGGAAGCUAACUUAAAAGAUGAACUUUUGAGGGUGUGUUUUCUAUUGUGUGGGGCUUUUGUCGAAAUUAGGAUUCCGAAACACGUUUUUCUACGGUGGGUUCAUUCGACAGCGAUUUACUUUCUUAGAAGUUGCGAGACGGUAUGUUUUUGUUUGCAAUUAUUGGAAGAUGACAGAUCCAUCUUUAAAAUGAUACCAGGUUCGGAAAAAUUGAUACGUCGGAAAGGCAAGAAAAAUGCUGUGAAAGUUGUCAGUUUUAUAAUGGGACCCUAUGGGAAUCGGAAUUAGUGUAAUAUAACCUUUAAAAAGCACAUUUACUGCAAUGUCAAGGUCACAUGGAUUCGUCUGCAAGCGAGACAAGUAGAAAAUGAAUUUUAAUGAAUGUUUUGAUGAUUUGGGUGCUAAAAUAGAUGAGAGGUGUCAAUAUUUAGGUCCAAAUGGAUGUUUUAGGUGGUUUUAGACGGUUCCGGAUGGGUGGGGGACCUGGUAUGGACAAGUAAGGGUAACAUUUCCAACAAAUCUUAAAUGUAAAUAUUAUUAUGUCCAUAGAUUGAAGUUUCAGGUGGAGAGCAAGAUGAAAAAUAUGCAAAAUUACAUGCAUGCAACCCAUUUAUGCCAUUUUUCUCUUUGUUUGUAGGCCUGACCGUUUGUCCUUGAGCCGUAGAUGGUCAACAAUCCGCUAGCUGUCUUGCUCUGACUGGUGCACUGGACAUGAUUUCAAUAGUCAGCCAGACCAUGAUUGAGCUUAAGGAUUGUGCUGCGGAUGCAGCCUGUGCAGUUCCGGGAGAAAGUCACUGUCUCGGGCAAUGCGGUCUGGUAUCAGGUCUGGAUGAUCCUUGCCUGACUGCGGGUUUGUGUACACCUCAAUCCGACUCUGUGUCCUGAACAGAGGCCGCAGUGGUGCAGCGCUUGUGGUCGAUCCAUCAACAUCCUGAAAGGUCAACACUACACCAAGCUGGGAAAAUUGAUCCUGAUAGUCAUCCCCAGGCCUGACCGUUUGUCCUUGAGCCGUAGAUGGUCAACAAUCCGCUAGCUGUCUUGCUCUGACUGGUGCACUGGACAUGAUUUCAAUAGUCAGCCAGACCAUGAUUGAGCUUAAGGAUUGUGCUGCGGAUGCAGCCUGUGCAGUUCCGGGAGAAAGUCACUGUCUCGGGCAAUGCGGUCUGGUAUCAGGUCUGGAUGAUCCUUGCCUGACUGCGGGUUUGUGUACACCUCAAUCCGACUCUGUGUCCUGAACAGAGGCCGCAGUGGUGCAGCGCUUGUGGUCGAUCCAUCAACAUCCUGAAAGGUCAACACUACACCAAGCUGGGAAAAUUGAUCCUGAUAGUCAUCCCCAGGCCUGACCGUUUGUCCUUGAGCCGUAGAUGGUCAACAAUCCGCUAGCUGUCUUGCUCUGACUGGUGCACUGGACAUGAUUUCAAUAGUCAGCCAGACCAUGAUUGAGCUUAAGGAUUGUGCUGCGGAUGCAGCCUGUGCAGUUCCGGGAGAAAGUCACUGUCUCGGGCAAUGCGGUCUGGUAUCAGGUCUGGAUGAUCCUUGCCUGACUGCGGGUUUGUGUACACCUCAAUCCGACUCUGUGUCCUGAACAGAGGCCGCAGUGGUGCAGCGCUUGUGGUCGAUCCAUCAACAUCCUGAAAGGUCAACACUACACCAAGCUGGGAAAAUUGAUCCUGAUAGUCAUCCCCAGGUAGUGGAAUGAAUGUUCACUGAACUACAGAGGAAUCACACCCAAAUGACUUUCCUGCCACGACAUUAGUGUGGCCACUCGCGUAGGAGUUCCUUAGCAAACAUGCUCUUUUGCAUGGUGACUGUGGACAUUUUUGCAAAACUUACGCUUUCAACACUGGAUUUUAACGAGAAUACUUAAUAAAAUGUCGCUAACAGGACUUAUUUAUAUGAGAGAGACUAUCUGGAUGCGCAUUAAGUGUCACUUGGUGUCGUAAGCUGUUGAAGGAGCGAUUUGCGCCUUUUUAAGUGUUAAAUUUGGGUAGCCGGCUUGUAUCAGC